CCUACGGGAGGCAGCAGUGAGGAAUAUUGGUCAAUGGACGAGAGUCUGAACCAGCCAAGUAGCGUGAAGGAUGACUGCCCUAUGGGUUGUAAACUUCUUUUAUAAAGGAAUAAAACGAGGCACGUGUGGCUUUUUGCAUGUACUUUAUGAAUAAGGAUCGGCUAACUCCGUGCCAGCAGCCGCGGUAAUACGGAGGAUCCGAGCGUUAUCCGGAUUUAUUGGGUUUAAAGGGAGCGUAGAUGGGUCUGUAAGUUAGUGGUGAAAGUGUGCGGCUCAAGCGUAAAAUUGCGGUUGAUACUGGCAGUCUUGAGUACAGUUGAGGUAGGCGGAAUUCGUGGUGUAGCGGUGAAAUGCUUAGAUAUCACGAAGAACCCCGAUUGCGAAGGCAGCUUACUAAACUGUGACUGACAUUGAUGCUCGAAAGUGUGGGUAUCAAACAGGAUUAGAUACCCCAGUAGUC
rnacentral:rRNA from 1 species